GCCUGGAUAGCUCAAUGGUUAGAACACCUGACUAAUGAUGCAGGGGUCCCAGGUUCGAAUCCUGGUCCAGCAACA